CUACUCCGGAUACUAGGAAUGCUCACCAUGCUAAAGAUGAUCCAACCAUUGCUGAACACUCAGAUACAUUGUCGCUAGCAGGAAGCGAGUGACUAAUACAGUGCGAUACAAGCUCCUCACGCACAGGUGGAAGCGGAAGCCCCCAUUCAUCAUCCUGAAAGAAAAACAACACGUUGACAGAAGCCUGCGUCCUGGGAAGGGGACGCUCCCUAUCUGCUUCCUGUAAUAAGGGUUCCCUGCUCUGCUUGUCUUCUCAGCGCCUCUGCUCUAUGUGACAUGGACACGUUUGACAUCUUGACCACACAUUUUGUAACUUCCCAUCAGGCUCUGGAUACAUUCCUAGCACUGGUCUCUGGGGGGGGGGGGAAGCGGUGCGCUUGGCUGCUGAGCGUCUGGGAGUGUGUGGCUGAGGCUGUAGAGAGGCUUCUGUGGAGAGGGCAGGGUUAGCUUUGAGAAACCCACUGAGAUGAAACAUAGGCUCAUGUCACUGAAAGCCCAGCCAAAGGAGGAACUCACAUAAAUAACCCCCCCACCCCCCGAGAUCUGGCUGUCGCUGUGUCUAAGGAAAUGGUUUCCAUAGGAAACAGUAAUAAAAAUAGUGUUAUUUUUAAGCUGGAAGGAAUGACACUUUGGUGUCAUCCAGAUUUCAAAAUAAUUUAAAAUAGCAGAGGAAAUGUUUGGCCAUUUGGCUAUUCAUAGUGUCUUUUGUGGUGUCCCUCCUCCUGUGACCAAAUGGAGGCGAGAUGGUUCCUCUGCAUGUGCUUGGGAGACAGAGACCCUCCCAGCCGCCCUGGGCCACUGCUGUGACUUCUGACUUCAGCCAGAUGUCUCCAAUCCUUCUCUGUUGAGUGUCUCUAACCUUGAGCUGUGGAGGUUUCUUUUAGCGGAUCUCGCUAACAAACUAACACUUGGUCUUUUAUUCUCGUAUGAAAUGAUUUGCCUUCAAUGAGGACAGUUUUUUCUUUGUGGUACACCUUACAUAUCCAUCUCUCUGUAUGUGUGUAUAUGUAUAUAUAAUAUAUGCAUAUAUACAUACAUAUCUAUAUCUAUCUACUUAGUUAUCUAUCAUCUAUUUAUGUACACACAUAUACACACAUACAGAGAGGAUGGAGUUGUAUAGGCAGAGUCUUACAGUGUACCCCAGGCUAACUUGAAGCUCUGUGGCUCAGGCCUUUUUCUUCAGACCCAAGAGUACUGGGAUUACAGUUACGAGCUUUUUUUUUUUCUUUCUUUCUUACCAAUUGCUGUGUUUCAGUUAGAGCUACAGAUUCCAUAAGAGAAACACUUGGAGGAAGCAGGUCAUCUUUGGGUACUAGGCAGUAGGAAAAUGUCUUGGCAAAUGGGCAUUCCCAUCAGUGCUCAGAGAAGGUGAGAGGCUGAGCCUUUGCUCACAGAUGUGGAAUUGACCGCUCAGUCCCUCUAUUCUUCUUUAGGGAGCGUUGUAGUUUGCAUUCCGUUGCUGUGAUAAAGCAGCCUGGGAAGGAAAGGGUUUAUUUGGCUUCCUCUUCCAGGUCACAGUCCAUCACAAAGGGCAACCAGGGCAGGAGCUUAGGCAGGGACCGAAGCAGAGGCUGUGGGGAGUACUGUGCCUUCACUGGCUCACUCACUGGCUCCCACUCACCAGCUUCUUCAUUCAGCCAGGCGGACCUACCUAGGGAUGGUACCACCCACAGUGGGUUUGCCCCUCCCACAUUAAUCGUCAAUCAAGGCAAUCUUUUGCAGACAUCAUCUCAGGUCAGUCUCAUCUGGGAAAUCCCUGGAGUGAGGCUCUCUCUUGUGGGGUGACUCUAGGUUGUGUCAAAAAAAAAAAAAAGACAAUAAAAGCUAAUCGGGACAAGAGACAAAUUUGAGGCAGUUGACAGUAUGUGGGGUGACUUCUACCAGCGUCUGCAGCAUGAGAUAGAGCUGUGCUCAGAAGGGUCUCCAGGGUGAACUCUGCUGGCCUGAGAUAAUAGCCAUGCACCCCCUCCAGCAGCUUGUCCACCUCAGGUGCAAAAAUAAUUUCCCACGGAGAGUGACUCCUAGAGCCUGGCUAUCCUUGCCAGAGCCACUAGCACUUAGGGCUGCUUUAUCAUCUGAGGAUAUGCAGGGCUGGGUAUUAUUAAGGUAUUUCUGUGUCCCGAGGGAAAUAAAAGAGAAGAUUAUAGGAAUAAAAGGAUGGGGUACCAGUGAUGCUUGCUCUUUGGGGAAGGUUUGAAAACAGCUGGGAAUGAGUAACCGAGAUUGGAUGGGAUCUACAGAUGCUUUGGUCUUAUGGGAAAAGGCAUCCUCCCACCCUUUAACUUGGAACUUUGAAUCUACCUCCUUUGAGAAACUUUCUGGUUGCCCCAGACUAGUGCAAACACUGGCCUGGCUUCCUCAGCACCCCAGUAUUGCUCUUAAGCGGGGUAUGGGAUGACAGGUGAAUGGCAGGACAGCCUCAGCCUCAGCUUCCACGUGGAUGAAAAGAUUUGGAUUCCCAGUUAUCUGAGUAGGAUCAGGAGUAAGAAGAGAUGGGUGGAGGAGACAGCUCCGCAGCUGAAAGCAGACACUGCUCUUGCAAAGGGGACCCAAGUUUGGUUCCCAGAACCCAUGUCAGGCAGCUCACGGUAGCCUGUCACCCCAGCCUUGGGGUGCCUCUGGGGUCCUCAGGCACUGCACUCAUUAACACACACACACACACACACACACACACACGAUAAAUAUUUUUAAAAGAGUCAAAAGAAGAGAGUGAUAAUGUCUACUUUGAAUUAUGUAAAGGUUUAACAAAAUGAGUCAGCCGGGCGUUGGUGGCACAGGCCUUUAAUCCCAGCACUCGGGAGGCAGAGGCAGGAGGAUCUCUGUGAGUCCGAGGCCAGCCUGGUCCACAGAGCUACACAGAGAAACACUGUCUCGGAAAAAUCAAUCAAUCAAACAAACAAACAAAAAAAUGAGGGUAUAUUUGGGAAAGUAUGGCAGGCUUUUUCAGAACUAGCCAGAGAACGGAAGUUAAAAGGAAGCAGGGUCUGGCCCACCUUCCAAGUCCCCUCCCCCACACACCUGUUCCGAUCAGUUUUCACUGCGUCCUUACCCUAAGGUUGCCCGGCUAGAGGUUAGAGAACUAACUAGACAAGGAAGUAGGUUCUGCGGUGGUCAAAUGACUUUUUUUCUUGUCUCAUUAGAGCAGUCUCCCAACAGCAAAUUGUAUCAGUAGCUACCAUCACCUUUGUUAUUGCGAAGGAGCUGCUCAGUGAUUUCACUGUCAAGGCUGCAGGUUAUUGAAACAUCUUUCCCAUUAAGCAGAGACCACAGGCUAAUUGACAGAUAGAACUAGGAUGGGGCCAAAAACAUCUUCAGCACAGCGCAUCAGCACACGUUGCUAAGGCACUCCUCCUAGGGUUUCUAGGGCAACCAUCAUCUCUGCAUCCUGUAAGGCUAUUCCUAGCCCAAUGAUGACGACCGGCUUCGGUACCUGAAGGUCUCCAAUUAUGCUCACUAUCUGUGGGUUUCUUGUCUGCUUUCCCUGCUACACUUUCUUUCCAUCAACCCCCAACUGCCUGCCCCUCACCCACCCCUCCUCCUUCCAGUGUUUGCAGAGGACGGUGAUGCCACACUCUCCCAUCAGUUUCCACAAGGCUCUUCUCUGCAGUGUUGAGCAGGGUUUAACACCCCGUUCCCUUUACAGCUUUGCCCUUUCCCUGCUUCCUUGGAACUCUGCUCUGACUUUUUCUCUUUCUGACUAAUGUGCCUUUGCUGGGUUUGCUGGUUUCUGUCCCUUCAGUAUCUUCAUUCCUCCAGGUUCUGCCCUGAGCUCAUUCUGUCAUUGCUCUUUAUAGUCAUUCGUACGGAACCCAUACAUUUGCAUGGUAGGCCAAAAGCCGAGCGGUGGUGGCGCACGCCUUUAAUCCCAGCACUCAGGAGGCAGAGGCAGGCAGAUCUCUGUGAGUUCGAGGCUGGGCUGGACUGACAGCCUCCAAAACAAUACAGAGAAACCCUGUCUCGUAAAACCAAAAAAAGAAAAAAAGAAAAAAAAAUCAUAGGCCAAGUUGGGUAUGGUGGUGUACUCCUCAAAGGCAGAUGGAUGGAUGUAAAUUCAGGGCGAGCCUGGUCUCGUAACAUGAAAUAAAACAGAACAACAACAAAAAUAUUGGGCCAACCACAGGAAAGCUAUAUUUUAAAAAGUUAAAACAUGCAGACGCAUAAUUCUGAACCUAAAUAUUAGUUAUCCAUCUAUAUAUGAAUAACUUUGUAGUUUGAUAAAGAUUAUGUCAUUCUGUGCA